AUUAAAAUCAGACUGAUUCGGAAUGGAAAC
rnacentral:other from 1 species